GUGCACUGCGGCCUGCGGGAGGGUUUUGGGCGGGCGGGCUCGGGGGUAGGGUUUCUACUUCUGCUUUUCUGGUAGGAGAUGAAGGCAAGUAGAGAUGCCUGAACCAUGGUCUUCAGAACGCGUGGUGCACAUCUCAGCUCAGCCACAGUCGGUAGCUCUUAGGGUUUUAAAGGUUAGGAGGGAAAUGAAGUUCGGGAUGACAACUAUCAAGAGCCAACUGAAUCUGUAAAGCAACACUUAGACGGCGGAGAUCUCUUCUCAUGAUCUGAUGGCAGUCAGAUGGUGGUUCAGUUUUUCUGUGGCGCGAAGCGGUUUUCCGUUUUUCUUGUUAUUCUUCCAAUUCAUUGUCUCCUGUAUUUUUUCGUUUCAGCGGUUUAAUUUGCUCACUGCCCCUUUUAAGCUGUUCUUAUGUAUAAGACAUUGCCUGUUGUAAUCCCAGAUAUGCCGUCAUUGAGAAAUUACCCCGUUUUCCAAUAUAAAAUGAGUUCAGAUUUCCACCUUUGUCUUCAAUUCAUGUUGAUUUCUACCAUUUUAUCCUCAAAUUAUGCAUCUGCGUUUCGGAGGGGGAGCCAAUUAUUUCGCUGUAUAAGCGUUAUCAAUUUUUCAAAAAACACUAGGCGC
rnacentral:lncRNA from 1 species